rnacentral:lncRNA from 10 species
GUGGGGGUGAGAACAGAUUUCUAAGCUGUUUUUGAGGCAGAUUUUAUCUUUUUGAAGAUGAAGUUGAAAUAAGGAAAAUAGAAAGGCAGAGAUUUUGAAUUGGCAUCAUCAGUGAGGCCUUCGCCUGGGAGCAAAAUGACUUCUUGAGGUUGGAACUUAAGCCUCAUCUACUGGGGAGGAUUCUUCUUCCUGACACAGACAUGUCACCUCCUGUCUGCAUGAGGUUCUCAGCUGCUCAGUUGUAUGCCCAGCUUCCCUGGAAAAGUCUGACCAACAGAGUGGUCAUAGGCCCAGCUGAACACUGGUCAACAAAAAUGUCCUGCCCAUGUCUGGUGCUAGGCCAAUGGAAGGAAACCUCCAAAGGUAGGGGGCUAAGUAUUUGGGAAGCAGUGGUUAUGAAGCAAA